rnacentral:rRNA from 1 species
GACGAACGCUGGCGGCGUGCUUAACACAUGCAAGUCGAACGGAAAGGCCCUGCUUUUGUGGGGUGCUCGAGUGGCGAACGGGUGAGUAACACGUGAGUAACCUGCCCUUGACUUUGGGAUAACUUCAGGCAACUGGGGCUAAUACCGGAUAGGAGCUCCUGCUGCAUGGUGGGGGUGGGAAAGUUUCGGCGGUUGGGGAUGGACUCGCGGCUUAUCAGCUUGUUGGUGGGGUAGUGGCUUACCAAGGCUUUGCCGGGUAGCAGGCCUGAGAGGGUGACCGGCCCCAUUGGGACUGAGAUACGGCCCAGACUCCUACGGGAGGCAGCAGUGGGGAAUAUUGCACAAUGGGCGGAAGCCUGAUGCAGCAAAGCCGCGUGCGGGAUGACGGCCUUCGGGUUGUAAACCGCUUUCGCCUGUGACGAAGCGUGAGUGACGGUAACGGGUAAAGAAGCACCGGCUAACUACGUG